GUCGGAGGAUAUUCACUGGUAAUCAAACUUGUAGGCUUUAAUUUAACGGCAAAUAAAAUAAUUAAACAGGCACCCAAAAAAAUUAAUUAGACGGUGUCGCUUUGGCACUGAAAGACCGAAAGGAACUGGUUAGUGGUUAGAAAGAAGCUCCUCCGUCGACAAAGAAACAAACAAGCACCAAGAGAGCUCUCACCCGCAAUGAGAGCGUGAUGCGCACGUUAGCAGCAGCCCAGCUGAAGAAUGAAUGUAAUGCUGCCUUGAAAUGUUCAGUCAAAUCAAACAAUUCUAUUGGUUAAGUAUUGUUGCUCUUUCAUUUUUUUGUCCUUUCUUUGGAGCAGUAUUUGUGUCGUUUUAAUCCUCGAAAUGUUCGUUCUCGCAAUUUCACAUCAUCUUCAUCACCAUCAUUCAGUAAAAGAGGUCUCCUCUCUCCCUCUCUUUCUCGGUUUUUUUAUUGUUAAUUACAAGUAUUAUGGUAAACCCAGCUCCAUCACCAUCAUUCUUUGGGUAUAAAUUACGAGCUGCUUGUAUUAUGUUGACGUGGGUUGCGAUCACGGAGCUUUGUUCUUCUCUGAUCAUAGUAUUUGAUGAUGGAUUCGUUUUUAUCUGUAAAUUUAUUGUUGUCAGAUUGCACUUCUUCUGAAUCAUAUAUUCUUAGGCCCCUUUUCUCCUAGAGUGUUGUAAUUGUGUUUUUUUUGCUGUGUUUGUGAUUUUCAGAACUGAUGACCCAUAGUUAAGUAAAUGAACUAUUGAAUAUCAGGUUUAGAUUGAAAUUAGCUUGGCGUAAGAGAUGUUGAGAUUUUUUCUUUCUUUCUUUUUUUAUUCAUACGCAAAUCACAGUGUAAGGUCUGCUGCUGCUGCUGCUUCUUCUUGAUUUCUAGUUGAAAGAAGGAUGAGAAUAGUGGAGAUGGGUGGGGCUCAACUGCUCAAGAGUUGUUCAACAUGUAAGGAGGUGCUAAAGAUGACCACACCAGGAAAGCGGAUUUGAAAGCUCUGCCCUCUCACAGCCAGGGUAUUUUGGUUCUUUAGGCGUGAUGUGAUGGGCUCGAUUUACAUAUUUGAGUAUUCAACCUACGGCAACAUCCAUAAAUGUUCAUGACAACACAAUUGCUGCCAAGAGUUGCUGGAACUUGGUAUUUCCGUUUUGAAACUGCAGAUGAAGCUGUCAGAGCUUUACACCAUGCAGGGGCAAUCUCGGUGAUUAAGUCUAUCCCAGAUUCCUCUGAUGAAGCAGAAAAUGAGAAAUGUAAGGCUAGCUUGCUGAAGAGAUUCCAGGAUCUGAGAUAUGAUAAUUCGUCUUAAGUAAUCGAUUCAGGGCAUAACCCUUUCCAAUGCAGGCUUGAAGUACAGUCAGGUCAAAAAGUCAUCUGACAUCUUGGAGAGAUUAGGCCUCACAAGUAAUGAAAAUACAGUGCAUCUCUUUUGAAUGUAAUUUGAACCAAAAUUUCCCCAUCGAUACUCAUGUUUUUAAUGCUAUGAAUCGUAGGGGUUUGUAUACCAUGAGGCAUGAGCUCGUGGAGUGGAUAUGUAAUAGUUGUCCUGCGCAGUUAUAAUUGUGCUCGUAAGGCUGUGUUUACAUUGAGUAGCUUAGUUUGUGACCCUGAUGGUUUGCCAAGCAAGUAGUUAGCACUCAGCACACGUCCACCAAUUUUUGUGUGUUGACUGUUCCAUCAUCGUAUAUGUGCUAGCCUGAAAUGGAUGUGUUUGUUGGUGCUGGAGUGGAUGGAUGGAUGGAUGUGGACUGCUGCUCAGUUGGACCUUGAUUCUAUGGAGAGUUUAUUGAAGAUACUUCAAACAAUUUCGGCUAUUUGAAUGUUGAAUCACAAAUUCUCCAUGAAGAUGACUUCAGUGUGAAAGUUUAUCCAGGAGUGGACUAUGCCUUCAUUGUGGCAUUGAUUGUAGUCCUCAAUGAGGAAGACAUGGUUUGAUUGUCUCUUGUGAAGUCAUAUCUUACCUGUACAUCAUCAUAUACAUCUAUAGACUCUUCGCAAGAGAGAAUCUGAUGCCAGUUCAAUAUACAAAAUUACGACCUAAACUUUCAGAGAAGCUGCUGUUGGAUUGUAAGGACACGCUACGAGUAUGAAGAAUACAUAUAACAAUACAAGCACCUCAACUAGAAAAACACAGGGAGGGGCUAUUACUAUUACUAUUACUUGUUUCUAACCAAACUAUAGAUGUUUGUUGACAAGGCAAUUGUGCUUGUUGCUACAGCUAGAAUUAUCAUCACUGCUGCCACGAUCUUAUCUCGUGUCGUUGAUAUGCUGUGAACAUCCCUGUAAUUCAUGAGAAGACAAAAGGAAUUAUAUUGUGCAGAA